AUUGAACGCUGGCGGCAGGCCUAACACAUGCAAGUCGAGCGGAUGAAGGGAGCUUGCUCCUGGAUUCAGCGGCGGACGGGUGAGUAAUGCCUAGGAAUCUGCCUGGUAGUGGGGGAUAACGUCCGGAAACGGGCGCUAAUACCGCAUACGUCCUGAGGGAGAAAGUGGGGGAUCUUCGGACCUCACGCUAUCAGAUGAGCCUAGGUCGGAUUAGCUAGUUGGUGGGGUAAAGGCCUACCAAGGCGACGAUCCGUAACUGGACUGAGAGGAUGAUCAGUCACACUGGAACUGAGACACGGUCCAGACUCCUACGGGAGGCAGCAGUGGGGAAUAUUGGACAAUGGGCGAAAGCCUGAUCCAGCCAUGCCGCGUGUGUGAAGAAGGUCUUCGGAUUGUAAAGCAGUUUAAGUUGGGAGGAAGGGCAGUAAGUUAAUACCUUGCUGUUUUGACGUUACCAACAGAAUAAGCACCGGCUAACUUCGUG
rnacentral:rRNA from 1 species